UCCUGACUGACCGAUAGUGAACCAGUACCGUGAGGGAAAGGCGAAAAGAACCCCGGCGAGGGGAGUGAAAAAGAACCUGAAACCGUGUACGUACAAGCAGUGGGAGCACGCUUAGGCGUGUGACUGCGUACCUUUUGUAUAAUGGGUCAGCGACUUAUAUUCUGUAGCAAGGUUAACCGAAUAGGGGAGCCGAAGGGAAACCGAGUCUUAACUGGGCGUUAAGUUGCAGGGUAUAGACCCGAAACCCGGUGAUCUAGCCAUGGGCAGGUUGAAGGUUGGGUAACACUAACUGGAGGACCGAACCGACUAAUGUUGAAAAAUUAGCGGAUGACUUGUGGCUGGGGGUGAAAGGCCAAUCAAACCGGGAGAUAGCUGGUUCUCCCCGAAAGCUAUUUAGGUAGCGCCUCGUGAAUUCAUCUCCGGGGGUAGAGCACUGUUUCGGCAAGGGGGUCAUCCCGACUUACCAACCCGAUGCAAACUGCGAAUACCGGAGAAUGUUAUCAC
rnacentral:rRNA from 1 species